rnacentral:rRNA from 1 species
CACCGCGGUUAGACGGGUGGCUCAAGUUGAUAGACAACGGCGUAAAGAGUGGUUAAGGAGAUCUUAAAAACUAAAGCCGAACGCCCUCAAAGCUGUUAUACGUUUAAUCGAAGACAUGAAGCCCAACCACGAAAGUGGCUUUAACCAACCCUGACCCCACGAAAGCUGUGAAA